AUUGAACGCUGGCGGCAUGCUUAAUACAUGCAAGUCGAACGACAGGGUGAGCUUCUUGCUGGUGUCGCGUGGCGAACGGGCGGGUGAUUCACCCGUAGGUGCCCUACAUUUGAGGAUGGGCUGGCUACAGCAAGACUAAUAUCACAUCGGACCAGAUAUUGAACCGGAGGGACCGAUAGUCAUCGACGUAUUUGAUGUGCCGUUGUCGGAUUUGCUAGUUGGUAGGGUAAAGGCUUACCAAGGCGACGAUCCGUAGCUGAGCUGAGAGGACGACCAGCCACACUGGGACUGAGACACGGCCCAGACUCCUACGGGAGGCAGCAGUGGGGAAUCUUCGACAAUGGGGGCAAGCCUGAUCCAGCCAUGCCGCGUGCGGGAAGAAGGCCUUCGGGUUGUAAAACGCUUUUGUUAGGGAAGAAAUACUGUGGACUAAUAUCCCGGGGGGAUGACGGUACCGGAUCAAUAAGCACCGGCUAACUACGUG
rnacentral:rRNA from 1 species